rnacentral:rRNA from 1 species
UACGUAGGGGGCAAGCGUUGUCCGGAAUCAUUGGGCGUAAAGAGCGUGUAGGCGGCCAGAAAAGUCCGCUGUGAAAACUCGAGGCUCAACUUCGAGCUGUCGGUGGAAACUUUCUGGCUAGAGUCCGGAAGAGGAGAAUGGAAUUCCUGGUGUAGCGGUGAAAUGCGCAGAUAUCAGGAAGAACACCCGUGGCUAAGGCGGUUCUCUAGUACGGUACUGACGCUGAGACGCGAAAGCGUGGGGAGCGAACAGG